AUACGGAGGAUCCGAGCGUUAUCCGGAUUUAUUGGGUUUAAAGGGUGCGCAGGCGGCCAUUUAAGUCAGCGGUUAAAUCGUGGGGCUCAACCCCAUUCUGCCGUUGAUACUGGGUGGCUUGAUUGCGGUCGAGGUUGGCGGAAUUCGUUGUGUAGCGGUGAAAUGCAUAGAUAUGACGAAUAACACCGAUUGCGUAGGCAGCUGACCAGACCGCAAAUGACGCUCAUGCACGAAAGUGCGGGGAUCGAACAGGAUUAGAUACCCUGGUAGUCCGCACAGUAAACGAUGAAUACUUGUUUUCGGCGAUAUAAUGUCGGAGGCAAAGCGAAAGCGAUAAGUAUUCCACCUGGGGAGUACGCCGGCAACGGUGAAACUCAAAUGAAUUGACGGGG
rnacentral:rRNA from 1 species